rnacentral:rRNA from 1 species
CCGUCAUACCGAUCUCAGGCUUGAAUCGCAGAGAUCACAAAACGCCCCGGCGCUGUAGGAUGUGGCUGCGGUUGAUUAGGUAGACGGUGGGGUAACGGCCCACCGUGCCCAUAAUCAGUACAGGUUGUGAGAGCAAGAACCUGGAGACGGAAUCUGAGACAAGAUUCCGGGCCCUACGGGGCGCAGCAGGCGCGAAACCUUUACACUGCACGCACGUGCGAUAAGGGGACUCCGAGUGCGAGGGCAUAUCGUCCUCGCUUUCGUGUACCGUAGGGUGGUACACCAACAAGGGCUGGGCAAGACCGGUGCCAGCCGCCGCGGUAAUACCGGCAGCCCGAGUGAUGGCCGAUUUUAUUGGGCCUAAAGCGUCCGUAGCUGGCUGCGCAAGUCCGUCGGGAAAUCCACUCGCCCAACGAGUGGGCGUCCGACGGAAACUGCACAGCUUGGGACCGGAAGGCUCGAAGGGUACGUUCGGGGUAGGAGUGAAAUCCCAUAAUCCCGCACGGACCACCGAUGGCGAAAGCACUUCGAGAAAACGGAUCCGACAGUGAGGGACGAAAGCCAGGGUCUCCAACCGGAUUAGAUACCCGGGUAGUCCUGGCCGUAAACAAUGUUCGCUAGGUAUGACACAGACUACGUGUCUCUGUUGUGCCGUAGGGAAGCCGAGAAGCGAACCGCCUGGGAAGUACGUCUGCAAGGAUGAAACUUAAAGGAAUUGGCGGGGGAGCACUACAACCGGAGGAGCCUGCGGUUUAAUUGGAGUCAACGCCGGG